rnacentral:rRNA from 1 species
AACGCGAAGAACCUUACCAGCUCUUGACAUGCCUCGUAUGGGUCCGGGAGACCGGGUCCUUCGGUUCGGCCGGCGGGGACACAGGUGCUGCAUGGCUGUCGUCAGCUCGUGCCGUGAGGUGUUUGGUUAAGUCCAGCAACGAGCGCAACCCUUAUCAUUAGUUGCCAACACGUAAGGUGGGGACUCUAAUGAGACUGCCUAGGUUAACUAGGAGGAAGGCGAGGAUGACGUCAAGUCCGCAUGGCCUUUAUGUCCAGGGCUACACACGUGCUACAAUGGUCGGUACAGAGGGCUGCAAGACCGUAAGGUGGAGCAAAUCCCAGAAAGCCGAUCUCAGUUCAGAUUGUGGACUGCAACUCGUCCACAUGAAGUCGGAAUUGCUAGUAAUGGCGUGUCAGCAACAACGCCGUGAAUACGUUCCCGGGCCUUGUACACACCGACAUA